CAGCAGCCGCGGUAACACGUAGGUGGCAAGCGUUGUCCGGAAUUAUUGGGCGUAAAGGGCUCGCAGGCGGUUUCUUAAGUCUGAUGUGAAAGCCCCCGGCUCAACCGGGGAGGGUCAUUGGAAACUGGGAAACUUGAGUGCAGAAGAGGAGAGUGGAAUUCCACGUGUAGCGGUGAAAUGCGUAGAGAUGUGGAGGAACACCAGUGGCGAAGGCGACUCUCUGGUCUGUAACUGACGCUGAGGAGCGAAAGCGUGGGGAGCGAACAGGAUUAGAUACCCCUGUAGUCCCUGUCUCUUAUAA
rnacentral:rRNA from 1 species